rnacentral:rRNA from 1 species
GUGAGGAAUAUUGGACAAUGGGCGCAAGCCUGAUCCAGCCAUGCCGCGUGCAGGAAGACGCAUCUAUGGUGUGUAAACUGCUUUUGUACGGGAAGAAACACUCCCUCGUGAGGGAGCUUGACGGUACCGUAAGAAUAAGGAUCGGCUAACUCCGUGCCAGCAGCCGCGGUAAUACGGAGGAUCCAAGCGUUAUCCGGAAUCAUUGGGUUUAAAGGGUCCGUAGGCGGUUUAAUAAGUCAGUGGUGAAAGCCCAUCGCUCAACGAUGGAACAGGCAUUGAUACUGUUAGACUUGAAUUACAAGGAAGUAACUAGAAUAUGUAGUGUAGCGGUGAAAUGCUUAGAUAUUACAUGGAAUACCAAUUGCGAAGGCAGGUUACUACUUGUGGAUUGACGCUGAUGGACGAAAGCGUGGGGAGCGAACAGGAUUAGAUACCCUGGUAGUCC